rnacentral:rRNA from 1 species
AUUGAACGCUGGCGGCAUGCUUUACACAUGCAAGUCGAACGGCAGCGCGGGCUUCGGCCUGGAGGCGAGUGGCGAACGGGUGAGUAAUACAUCGGAACGUGCCCCGUAGUGGGGGAUAGCUCGUCGAAAGCCGGAUUAAUACCGCAUACGACCUGAGGGUGAAAGCGGGGGAUCUUCGGACCUCGCGCUAUUGGAGCGGCCGAUGGCCGAUUAGCUAGUUGGUGGGGUAAAGGCCUACCAAGGCGACGAUCUGUAGCUGGUCUGAGAGGACGACCAGCCACACUGGGACUGAGACACGGCCCAGACUCCUACGGGAGGCAGCAGUGGGGAAUUUUGGACAAUGGGCGAAAGCCUGAUCCAGCAAUGCCGCGUGUGUGAUGAAGGCCUUCGGGUUGUAAAGCACUUUUGGCGGGAACGAAAAGGACUGUGCCAAUACCACGGUUCGAUGACGGUACCCGCAGAAUAAGCACCGGCUAACUACGUG